rnacentral:lncRNA from 1 species
AGAGUAGAAUGACUAAAAUAUUUGAAUAUUAAAGGAUUAUAAUAUGAGUGUAGGAACAAACAAAAUGGUUUAAUCAUUAAGGAAUAAUAAUCCUCCCCGUGGUUCUCAAAGUGUGGUCCUUUCAUUGGCAGCAUCGGCAGUUUAUGGGAACUUGGAAAAAAUUCAAGCACUCAGGUCUCAGAAUUCUGAAUCAGAAACUAAAAUUGGGGUCCGGCCAUCAGCAUUUUACAAUAACCUCUAAGUGAUUCUUAUGAACACUAAAGUUGAACAACCAUCAUUCUAUCAAGUUAUUUAUUCUUUUAAAACAUUCUUACAAUUAUACCUUUUCAUCUGCAUUAAAAAAUAAAAGUAUUAUUAUCCAUAUUUAACAACUGAGGAAACUAAACUCAGCAAGAUUAAGAUUAAUGUCUUCACUUGAAAGUUCCACAGCUAAACGGAUGGCAGAAUCAGUACCUGAUUUGACUUUCAUUAACACUUGUCUCCAUUAACAAACUCAUAAUUUUCUUUCUUUUAAGACUGUAUUUGCUUAUUCAUGAGAGAGACAGAGAGAGGCAGAGACACAGGCAGAGGAAGAAGCAGGCUCCCUGUGGGGAGCCUGAUGUAAGACUCAAUCCCAGGGCCCUGGGAUUACACAUGAGCCAAAGGCAGAAGCUCAACCACUAGUCAUCCAGGUGCGCCACUCACAAUUUUCACAAUUUUAAUUAGAUUAAAAAACUGAAGGAAAAGGAAAGUCUAGGUGAGGCAAGACAUUGACUUUGGCAUGAAGUUGAAAGUAGGGGAAGGACAAUCAAUACACUAACAUCCAGUGAGUAUACACUCCCAAGUAGAAUGAAGGCUGCGAAGAAUGAUGUUAUAUAGUUUCUGCCAUGCACAUUCUUUGAUUCUUUUAAGAAAUCAUAUAGCAUUUAGGCAUGGAUGAUACAACCAUAGGCAAGAUACAGCACUUGCCUUCAAGGAUCUUCCAGUCUACUGGGAGAAACAUAUCAAAAAAUGGAUAAUUUCAAUAUAGAAUAAAAUAUGCUACACUAUAUAAAGGAUGCCAUGAUGAACAGGAAAGAAAAACUUCUGGCACUGAGUUUAAGAGAAAGGUUGCCAAGUGAUCCAAAGACCAUUUCCUGGAUUAUUAGAGAAUCUUACAAUGGAAUAGAGGAUAUACAGUGGAGUAGAGGAAACCCAUAAAAAUACCUAACAAUAUGAGAAAUAAUGAAUGGUAUGAACCCUUGUCAUCUCACCAAUUUUUAUCUAAAGAAGGGUGCAUGAGUUUUCAAGUGUCAUUAUUCCAAUGAACCUUUGUCCAUAGAUAUAUUUGAAAUUGAUAGAAAAGUUUUGAAUUGUUUCUUUAUUGAAUGAAAUAAUUUAAAUAUUUUACAACAACAAUCAAGCAUAUACUUAUUCUAUUUAAAAAACACUAUAAUUUAGAAUGUUAAAGACAAAAAAUAAUAGGUUAGUGCUUAUUUUUUAUUUUGGAGAAAUUAGAUACAAAAGGUAACCUGAUGCUAUUAGAAAGUGUUUAUAUAGUCAGUGCAAAAGUGGAAGACGUCACUGAUCAUGUUAUAGAAUAAGUUAUAAUAAAAGAUCCAUAUAAUCUGUAUAACCUUCUCCUCUGCUACAGAGUUCUUAUGUUAAUCAAUAUAGUUCCUUUUUAUAACAAUAUCAGCUAAAUUCAGCACAAUAAUGUUGAACUAUUCCAUUUUUGCUAAUUUAAUCUCACACUGAGUUUUCUCUUACUUUCUAACAUUAUACAUGAUGAAUGUAGAAAAACAGGCAAACACCUAACAUAUUGGAGCAGAUGGAGUAAAAAAAAAAAAAUAACUAAAUCAGAAUGAUUUUACUAAAAUUUUCAGUAUGUGAGAUGAUGAAAAUGAAGAUUUAAUAUGCAACAACCUUUCCAUUGCUGUAAUUCUACAACAGUGAGCCCAUGAUGACUAGCAUAUUUUGCGCACUAAAUUAUACUGUUUGGCAUUUUUGCUAUCUGAUUCUGGAUAAUAUAUCAGCUAGCUAAUUUCUACAUUAACUAAAAUGAAUAGCGAAUAUACUCCAUUAAUCUCACAGCAAUAUUGCAGAUAAAAUUAAGAUUUCAAGAGGUCAACUGAUGUUCCCAGGUCUCGCAGAAGAUAAAUGCCAAAACCAGGAUUUCACUUUAGAUUUAUCUGAUUUUACUACAGUAGGGUAUCGUCUCCCCCACGCACCUCCUACUCACAAACACAGAGGCAAAUAUUAACUUUUUUGUUGUUAGUUUCUAUCUUUAAUGUGCCAAGAGAAGGAAAGAACCAAUUAAUGACCCAGGAACAGUUUUUAGAAAUAUUUGGAUCAUAGUCUUGAAAAUUAAUUUUAAAAAUUCUUUCAAAUUACGUUAAUUUUGGAUAAUUUGGAAUUAAAUUUAUUUUGCAUUCAAGUGUCAUUGAUGGAUUAAUAAAUCAGUGUAUAUCUAGAUGUUGUUAUUUUAGUAAAAAGGCUGCACCUGUUCAUGUAGAAUUCACUUAGACGGCUUUUAUUGGCAGCAGGCUAAGAGUUCAAUAGCACAUUUGACAAAAGCAAAUUUCUACAACUAGGAUGAGAUAUACACUGAUAUUAUUAAAUCAAAGUCUAAAUUUAACAUAUUACCCCCAAAAUAUUGCAUUCCACCUUUUUCAAAUAAAUGUUCUUCAAAUAGAUAUUGCACCUACCUUUCUCAAAUAAAUAUUGAACUGCACCUGUCCUUUAAGCAUUGAGUCGUCAUGCAGCAAAUACCUAAAAUUCUGAAGACCUUAGUGAAUUCACUCCAUCCGAGAGGCAGAAAGAAGUGCAUGGAAUUAAAAAAUGUCUAUCUACCUCCCUUUUUACACCACUGAAAAUAUUUUACCACUUAUUAGUGGGACAGAGGAGUGGUCUGUGGUCACCAAAAUUGUGACAAUUACUAAGAAUUCACUUCUCCAGUACAAUGUAUACCCUAAUCUAUCAUUACAUUCUACAACUACUAGUGCAUAGCAUUUUUAUUUGUCUAUUCUUUAACUUUUUUUAAAACUAAUUUUUAGGACAAUGAAUACAAUGUACAAGUGAAGUGAGGUGGGAAUUGUU